rnacentral:ncRNA from 1 species
UGAACCCAAAUCAGGUGAGAACACCCGCUAAGUUUAAGCAUAUAAUUAAGCGGAGGAAAAGAAACUUACAAAGAUUCCCCUAGUAACGGCAAGCGAACCGGGAAGAGCCCAGCAUGAAAAUCGGGUGGCAGCAUCGCCUGAAUUGUAGUCUGUAGAAGCAUCCUUAGUGGCAGACCGGGCCCAAGUCCCCUGGAAGGGGGCACCUGAGAGGGUGAUAGCCCCUUCGGUCCGGGACCCUGCCACACCACGAGGCAUUAUCGGCGAGUUGGGUUGUUUGGGAAUGCAGCCCUAAUCGGGUGGUAAAUUCCAUCCAAGGCUAAAUACAGGCGAGAGACUGAUAGCGAACAAGUACCGUGAGGGAAAGAUGAAAAGGACUUUGAAAAGAGAGUUAAAGAGUGCUUGAAAUUGUCAAGAGGGAAGCGGAUGGAGGCCGACGAUGCGUCUCGGUUGGAUGCGGAAUGGCUUAAGCUGGUCCACUGCUUGACUCGAGGUGCGAACCAGCACAAACCGUUGCAUUAGCACAAGCGCAGGUGGAGUACUUCCUGUUGGUUUGCUAUUGUGAUGGUUGAGGAACAAAGCAUGUGCCCUUGGGGCGGGCCACUGUGCACCUGCAUGCUCAUGGUGUUGGUUGGCGGGCUUUCCAUUCAACCCGUCUUGAAACACGGACCAAGGAUUCUAACAUGUGUGCGAGUCGGUGGGUUUGUAAACUUGCGAUGCGUAAGGAAGCUGACUGGAAAGAACCCCUCUCCAUGGGGUACAUUUUCGACUGACCUUGAGCUUGUGUGAAGGGUUCGAGUGCGAGCACACCUGUUGGGACCCGAAAGAUGGUGAACUAUGCCUGAGUAGGGUGAAGCCAGAGGAAACUCUGGUGGAGGCCUGUAGCGAUACUGAUGUGAAAAUCAUUCGUCUGACUUGGGUAUAGGGGCGAAAGACUAAUCAAACCAUCUAGUAGCUGGUUUCCUCUUAAGUUUCCCUCAAGAUAGAUGGAGCUCAUGUGCGAGUUUUAUUGGGUAAAGAAAAUGAUUAGAGGCAUCGGGGGUGUAACGCCCUCGACCUAUUCUCAAACUUUAAAUAGGUAAGACGGUGCAGCUGCUCCAUUGAGCCAUGCCACGGAAUCGAGAGAUCCAAGUGGGCCAUUUUUGGUAAGCAAAACUAGUGAUGCGGGAUUUACCAAAAGUCGAGUUACGGUGCCAAAUUGCGUGCUAACCCAGAUCCCACAAAGGGUGUUGGUUGAUUAAGAUAGCAGGACGGUGGUCAUGGAAGUCGAAAUCUGCUAAGGAGUGUGUAACAACUCA